UCUACUGUUGUGGGCCUCUAUCUCAUUUGAUGAUUGCAAUCUAUACCAUGUGCAAUUUAAAUGGUAAUGCGCUAUUACAGAAUGUGUUGCACGAGGUUCCUAGAACUACGGUGACCUUUUGUCCAAGGCAGGUAAUGUCUAUCUAUGCCAUCCAAUUCUCAGAUGAGGGGAGUGGCACAUCAUGAAUUUUCUGUAGCAUGGAGCAGUUUCCUGAGCUUAUCACUGGGAGGGAGCUGGUUGAUCUCCCCUUCGAGAGAUCGUUUCAGAUUUCAGACAAAAGUUGGCCUGUGGAACACACCACAUUUCCAUUUCUAACUGUUUGUGGCUUCACCAUUCAUCAGACCAUGUGUGUCAAUCAGACACAAGUGCAAGAUCCAAGCUGUCCACCAAUUGAGUACCAGCUUGCAAAUGUCCUAUCCUAACAUUCAUGCUGCUCUAUUCUUGUUGACCAUAACAUUUGAAAUAGGGAAAUUUAGCAACUUUUUUUUUCUGCCCAUCCAUUUCUCUGUAUCUUGAACUCAUGUCAAUUUGCCAUAUGUGGUGGCAUGAAGGAGCUUGGGUUGUACACACAUUUGGGAUUAGAAAAACCCUGUUAGCAGAAGUACUAGUUAUUAACCUGCAUUGAGCUAUCUAUUUUUUGCUGUCUCUCUUCAUCACUAGAGUAAUUCUAUCCUUAAAAGAGUAUUGAAAUCCUUGUCAUGCUAUUUGGGUUCCCUUUUUGCAGGUGCAAGCUGGUCUUUCUGCACUUGAAGAUGCAAUGGAGGCAGGAUAUGAAGAUUUCAAGGGCCCAUCGUGAUGUUCAUAUGCCAUCCAAACCAUCCAUAAGGUCAUUCCCCUUCAUCAAAACAAAUUCAAGUUUCUUGAAGUAGUUCGACUCGAAGGACAUGCCAUCACCCAAAAAGAAGCUGUUCUGUUAAGAGAUAUCCAUCUCCCUUAGUGAUACGUCGGCCAGUCCCAAGCCCAGGUAAGGGAGGACUGAUGGCAAGUGGGUAACUGCUGUGAACUGCACAAGUGGAGAUGCUUCUCCGGAUUGUCAUUGUGUACUGAAACUCCAUAUAUCUUGGGUGACAAACACCCUUUCUGGAAAUGGACAGUCAAUAUGGUGUAGGAGGACAGACGAGCUUGUUGAUGGCUAGGUUUUCAUGUUCAUUUGGCUAGGUUUUGGAAGCCUUUGGAGUAGACCCCAUCAAGGGGUUUACAGAUUUUCAGGUGGUGGAAAAUGCAAAAUUCUAGGCAAAAACGGAGGCAGUCAUGAUACGAUUGGAUAUAAGUGAAUAUAUGGAGCGGCAAAGAAAGUAGUUGGCAAGAUUAAAGUGGAAGAAGAGUAAGACAAGGUGUUCUUGUCCAGAGUACGAUCAACCUCCUAUAAAUAUCCAUCCAUCCAGCAGCAUCCACACUCGGAGAAGCAGAGGCUCUCUUGGAAUGGAAAGCUAGCAUCUUCUCACCACAAGCUCUCCAUUCAUGGUCACUUCCAGCUGCUAAUGCUAGUGCCACCACAAUCACUCCAUGCAAAUGGUAUGGGAUCUCCUGCAACGGCCUUCGAAGCAUAAUAGAGAUAAGCCUACCAAGUGCAGGCUUGCAAGGUAAGCUUGAUAACUUGAGCUUCUCCUCAUUUCCAAACCUCUUCCGUCUCAAUCUCAGUGACAACCCACUCACUAGAACCAUCCUAGCUGAUAUUAGCACUCUUUCCAAACUCGUCUCCCUCAUUAUCUCCAUGAAUAAUCUCUUUGGAGUUCAACCUCUUUCAUCGGCUAACCUUUCUCACCUUUCAGAGCUCGACAUCUCGUCUAAUGAAAUAACUAGGCCUAUUCCUCCGUCUUUAGGUAACUUAACCAGGCUAACAAUCCUCUACCUCUAUAACAAUCAAAUUUUUC